UGGGAAGUAUUGCGCAAUGGGCGAAAGCCUGACGCAGCGACGCCGCGUGAGGGAUGAAGGCCUUCGGGUUGUAAACCUCUUUCAGCAGGGAUGAAGCGAAAGUGACGGUACCUGCAGAAGAAGCACCGGCCAACUACGUGCCAGCAGCCGCGGUAAUACGUAGGGUGCAAGCGUUGUCCGGAAUUAUUGGGCGUAAAGAGCUCGUAGGCGGUCUGUCACGUCGGCUGUGAAAUCUCGGGCUCAACCCGACGC
rnacentral:rRNA from 1 species